rnacentral:rRNA from 1 species
CUGAUCAACAUCGUCACCAUCUUCCUCGGGCUGUCGGUGGGGGCCAAGCUGGUGGCGGACAAGUUCCUGCAGCCGCAGACGCUGGGGAUCCUGGUGCUGGGGGUGAUCGCCUUCUGCGUGGGGACCGCCGCCGGGGUGCUGAUGGCGAAGCUGAUGAACGUGUUCAGCCGGCACAAAAUCAACCCGCUGAUCGGCUCGGCGGGGGUGUCGGCGGUGCCGAUGGCGGCUCACCUAGGCGACGAUCCCUAGCUGGUCUGAGAGGAUGACCAGCCACACUGGAACUGAGACACGGUCCAGACUCCUACGGGAGGCAGCAGUGGGGAAUAUUGCACAAUGGGCGCAAGCCUGAUGCAGCCAUGCCGCGUGUGUGAAGAAGGCCUUCGGGUUGUAAAGCACUUUCAGCGGGGAGGAAGGCGGUGAGGUUAAUAACCUCAUCGAUUGACGUUACCCGCAGAAGAAGCACCGGCUAACUCCGUGCCAGCAGCCGCGGUAAUACGGAGGGUGCAAGCGUUAAUCGGAAUUACUGGGCGUAAAGCGCACGCAGGCGGUCUGUCAAGUCGGAUGUGAAAUCCCCGGGCUCAACCUGGGAACUGCAUUCGAAACUGGCAGGCUAGAGUCUUGUAGAGGGGGGUAGAAUUCCAGGUGUAGCGGUGAAAUGCGUAGAGAUCUGGAGGAAUACCGGUGGCGAAGGCGGCCCCCUGGACAAAGACUGACGCUCAGGUGCGAAAGCGUGGGGAGCAAACAGGAUUAGAUACCCUGGUAGUCCACGCCGUAAACGAUGUCGAUUUGGAGGUUGUGCCCUUGAGGCGUGGCUUCCGGAGCUAACGCGUUAAAUCGACCGCCUGGGGAGUACGGCCGCAAGGUUAAAACUCAAAUGAAUUGACGGGGGCCCGCACAAGCGGUGGAGCAUGUGGUUUAAUUCGAUGCAACGCGAAGAACCUUACCUGGUCUUGACAUCCACAGAACUUUCCAGAGAUGGAUUGGUGCCUUCGGGAACUGUGAGACAGGUGCUGCAUGGCUGUCGUCAGCUCGUGUUGUGAAAUGUUGGGUUAAGUCCCGCAACGAGCGCAACCCUUAUCCUUUGUUGCCAGCGGUUAGGCCGGGAACUCAAAGGAGACUGCCAGUGAUAAACUGGAGGAAGGUGGGGAUGACGUCAAGUCAUCAUGGCCCUUACGACCAGGGCUACACACGUGCUACAAUGGCAUAUACAAAGAGAAGCGACCUCGCGAGAGCAAGCGGACCUCAUAAAGUAUGUCGUAGUCCGGAUUGGAGUCUGCAACUCGACUCCAUGAAGUCGGAAUCGCUAGUAAUCGUAGAUCAGAAUGCUACGGUGAAUACGUUCCCGGGCCUUGUACACACCGCCCGUCACACCAUGGGAGUGGGUUGCAAAAGAAGUAGGUAGCUUAACCUUCGGGAGGGCGCUUACCACUUUGUGAUUCAUGACUGGGGUGAAGUCGUAACAAGGUAACCGUAGGGGAACCUGCGGUUGGAUCACCUCCUUA